GAUGAACGCUGGCGGCGUGCCUAAUACAUGCAAGUCGAGCGAACAGACGAGGAGCUUGCUCCUCUGACGUUAGCGGCGGACGGGUGAGUAACACGUGGAUAACCUACCUAUAAGACUGGGAUAACUUCGGGAAACCGGAGCUAAUACCGGAUAAUAUAUUGAACCGCAUGGUUCAAUAGUGAAAGACGGGUUUGCUGUCACUGAUAGAUGGAUCCGCGCCGCAUUAGCUAGUUGGUAAGGUAACGGCUUACCAAGGCAACGAUGCGUAGCCGACCUGAGAGGGUGAUCGGCCACACUGGAACUGAGACACGGUCCACACUCCUACGGGAGGCAGCAGUAGGGAAUCUUCCGCAAUGGGCGAAAGCCUGACGGAGCAACGCCGCGUGAGUGAUGAAGGUCUUCGGAUCGUAAAACUCUGUUAUUAGGGAAGAACAAAUGUGUAAGUAACUAUGCACGUCUUGACGGUACCUAAUCAGAAAGCCACGGCUAACUACGUG
rnacentral:rRNA from 1 species